rnacentral:rRNA from 1 species
AGUGUAGGUGGCUCAUUAAGUCACAUGUGAAACCCCCGGGCUUAACCUGGGAACUGCAUGUGAUACUGGUGGUACUAGAAUAUGUGAGAGGGAAGUAGAAUUCCAGGUGUAGCGGUGAAAUGCGUAGAGAUCUGGAGGAAUACCGAUGGCGAAGGCAGCUUCCUGGCAUAAUAUUGACACUGAGAUUCGAAAGCGUGGUAGCAAACA